CUGAACGCUGGCGGCGUGCCUAAUACAUGCCAGUCGAGCGAACGGACGAGAAGCUUGCUUCUCUGAUGUUCGCGGCGGACGGGUGAGUAACCCGUGGAUAACCUACCUAUAAGACUGGGAUAACUUCGGGAAACCGGAGCUAAUACCGGAUAAUAUUUUGAACCGCAUGGUUCAAAAGUGAAAGACGGUCUUGCUGUCACUUAUAGAUGGAUCCGCGCUGCAUUAGCUAGUUGGUAAGGUAACGGCUUACCAAGGCAACGAUGCAUAGCCGACCUGAGAGGGUGAUCGGCCACACUGUAACUGAGACACGGUCCAGACUCCUACGGUGGGCAGCAGUAGGGAAUCUUCCGCAAUGGGCGAAAGCCUGACGUAGCAACGCCGCGUGAGUGAUGAAGGUCUUCGGAUCGUAAAACUCUGUUAGUAGGGAAGAACAUAUGUGUAAGUAACUGUGCACAUCUUGACGGUACCUAAUCAGAAAGCCACGGCUAACUACGUG
rnacentral:rRNA from 1 species